GGGUCACUCACCCAAGACACUGUAAUUCAGCUAAUGGGUAGGGAGUCGAAGACACCGCACUUACAUUACUUAUAUUAUGUUUUACAUGUUAAUUAUAUCCUACAGAAUAACACAUUGAUUGGCAUACAAGAUGAGCAAUGGAAUCAUUCUAUAUAUUUAGUAGGUCUGCAAUAAUAUCCUACAAAUAUAUUGCCUUAACGAUUUGUUUCUGAAAUUUGGUUCAUUCAUAAUAAAGUCAGACAGUCACCCAUACACGGACUGGACUCUAAUUUGGUUCGCUGUGGACUAACCUAAUUUUUAGAAUCAAUUAGUUUGACGGUGAGGCAUUGUAUUCACACAGAUGCCUUAAAAAAAUGUGUUGCACAUUUAGCAUUUAGAGAUACCGACUGAUGUAUGGGUGAAGAAUGGAAUAUAAUAUAUAUUUGUACACAUUCACUGGUAUCAUAGUAAAGAAUGGAGAUAUCUUAUAAAUUUAGACAAACUGAAUGGCAUAUAGGUGGAAAAUUUAAAUAUCAGUUAUAUUUGAUACAUUUUGAUUGACAUUACCAUCUAAUAUCAUUCUAUAAUCUCAUAUAUUGC